CAGUCGCCACGGUAAUUCGUAGGGUGCAAGCGUUAAUCGGAAUUACUGGGCGUAAAGCGUGCGCAGGCGGUUAUAUAAGACAGAUGUGAAAUCCCCGGGCUCAACCUGGGAACUGCAUUUGUGACUGUAUAGCUAGAGUACGGCAGAGGGGGAUGGAAUUCCGCGUGUAGCAGUGAAAUGCGUAGAUAUGCGGAGGAACACCGAUGGCGAAGGCAAUCCCCUGGGCCUGUACUGACGCUCAUGCACGAAAGCGUGGGGAGCAAACAGGAUUAGAUACCCCAGUAGUCCCUGUCUCUUAUAA
rnacentral:rRNA from 1 species